CUGUGCAGAGGGGAGGGGCUGAACCGUCCCUAGUAUGACAAGGGUCUGUGACGUACCGUGUAACCAGAAGCUUGUGGGAUUGAGUCCCCUGGAGGACAUCACUUCAGCUUGUGGGAGGGACAGACAGGAUCUGGGCUCGGUACAGGGGAGCAGUCACUCGUUGUGGUUAUUUCUGACGUUAAACUGCAAAUGUUUACUAUAGUGAGCAGACAAGCCCUCAAGGGUAACACAGCCAACAUCGGAUCAGCACCAGGCUAAAAUCCGGCCUGACACACUGGCGUUCGCAAGUUAAGUUAUGCAGCUUACCACAGUUAACCACACUUUGCUAAGGUACAGUAAAAAGAGCACAGCGGCUAUGCGGAUAUCGUCCAGACCAGCACUUGGGUCACUGUACUGGGGAGACGGACAAGGCACCCCCCCCCACGCCUCCCACCAGCAUCAUCAUUCCCACUGCGUCUUUUUCGGGGAUCCUCUGGCAAACGCCCGCAGCACGUCGAGGACCACCAGGAGGAUCGCCCGGAGGAAUAAACAAGCGGGAGACGUCUGCACCCAGGAACGGGCGGAACUUGCACUGAGUUGCAAUGAACGGAGCCACCCUCCCUCACCCCCCCCACCAAAAAGGUACGUCCCAUAUAGCAGUGAACUUAAGAGGUCCAUGUCAGUACAUGAUCUCUCGUAUGUGCUUGGCAGUGAGUCCCGUUGUCAUCGGUGUCACAACCCCGGCUUUGCAAGUCUAAAUGUUGUCGUUGGGAGGCUCCCCCCUCCGCCUAAGUUGUGAUUCUCUCAAUGCUGCCCCGAUGACACAACCGAUUUUAUUUUGGACGGCGUGAACUUUGCAUGCCGUACUACACAGUCAAUACUGACCAAUCAGCACCAUUUCUAAAAGCUCGACCUGCUUAAAAAUCUGUCCUUUUGGAACAGAAGCAAAGUCGAGGGGAUCAUGGACGUCCAGCACAAGGUGAUUUACCAGGGUGAAAGCACCAGGGGGAAGGUGUGCAGACUCAGCAGGUUAAAAUGCUUUCCCCAUGAUCAGAAGGUUGCUGGUUCAAAUCCCAGAGUCGACAAAGUGAUAUCACCCUUGGGCCCUUGAACGAGGCCCUUAACCCCCAAUUGCUUUAGCGACUGGCUGAUCCUUUCUCAAAACUGUUCUCUUUCACUUGGCAUAAAAGCAUCAGCUAAAUAAAGAAAGUGAAACUGAAAUAUCACUUGUAAAAGUGACACUAGCCUGGGUGGUACUCAUGUCUCCUACGCCCCCACUUGGCUGGGGUUGUAUUGUGCUCUCCUCCAUGGAGCAGCAGUGACGCCAGAGGCAGACAUUUACACAUGUAGUAAAUUGGGGGGGGUUUGUAACCUCACCCCCUAGAUUUAUUUGUUUUAUGAAUCUGCUGAUCGGUAGGGUUGCAGGACACUGGCCAGAGGAACCAAUAGUCCUGCACUGCAUUCUGGGAGAAAUGUGGGUCAUCCGCAGAAGCACCCGUCGAUAAUGCAGGAUAAACAGAGGGUUAAGAGGCAGAAGACAGGAUUGCUGGCGCACUGCCUUAAUAGCCAGUUACAACAAGCCGCCGCCGCCCCCGAAAUGAGGCGGACGUGACCUGCCUUGCCAGCUGCCAGGAGAAAACAUGCCAUCAAGAGAAAAUGACAGCCAACGCAACUACUGCAAAGGUUUCUGACCAAGUAAAGUCCUGCCAAGCAAAGGCGUUCCUUCCUGGCACUCUUCCGAGGGAAAGGUCCACCCGCAAUGAGUGACGAAACUUCAGAGACCACAGGAGAGCUCGGCUGUGCAAACAGCUCUGCGUUCUGAUGUUCCACACGAACAGCCCAAUGAAGACGGUCGUGGUCUUCCUGCAAAUUUACGUCUUAUCCACAGUCAUGACCACAUCUGCUGUGUUGAAUGUCUGCACAGACCAGCUUCUGCUGCCAAUUCUUCUUAGGCUUCAGUGGAUGCUGGGAAUCCCACUAGGACUGGCCCUGAUGUUUUGGGUUCAGGGAAUCGUUGUUUACGGUGGGCUGCAUUUGGUUUCUUGAAAUCUCGUUUACUGCUGUUUCAUCUAAAACAGCUUUAGUUGGAGUCCUGCCAGUAGUCAAUACUUCAGAAGUAACAAAGGGGCGGUUAGUGAUUAGAUUUUCUAGUUGCUAGGGGUGACAAAGACCAGUCUUUUGUUUUUCCCUCCAAUUUGAGGAUUGUGUUGGAUACUGGGAGCUGACAAAACCAAUUGACACGAAGGCCAAAAUUAGUCAGAUGAAUCCCCCCCCUCACUGGAAAGUUAUACCCCCUAUCAUGAGUAUUUACUCUUUUUCCUCCCUUCGUCACACAGCGUGACAUUGAUUUAAGACCCCUCUCCCAGUCUCUGCUUGGUAUCUUGGGCCAGAAGGGGCAACAGGUCAUAAGUAUGACACAAUGUCUUCACUCUGCUUUGAGGCAACUGGUCAAAUAUAUAGAUCCUGUAGCGUUAUUUGGUUCUGCCAUUUAAUAUCAUAUUAGAACAUUAAUACUGUUUUUUUCUGAAGCAGUUUGUAUUUUUAUCAGAGUCCUUCAGAAAGAAGACAUCAACAGAAAUAACAUGGUGUCACAUGGCAGCAAAUAUUUGGAGCAAGUCUGGGCACCAAGGGCGAGUAUUUAACACCUGUGAUCAUAGGGCAGCCUGGCAACAUGGGGCAUAAUUAAUACACCUUGGGGUGCGAGUUUCAGUGUCGUGCAACAAAGAUGUGGGAGGAACCUCGCAAGAUGCUCGGCGACCACCAGACCAAGGAAGUCUUCCUCUGGAAGCUGGUUUCAGAUGGUGGCUUAGAGUGUUGUAUGCUAAUCAUCUAGCACCAUUUGAAAUCAGUGUUCUUGGGGCAGGACAGACAUCUGCCAUAUGCAUCGACCUGCCGUGAAGGAGUAAAGUAGGGAGUAGAUGUUUGCAAGAGGGGUGGACAAACCUCUUGACACAUCUCUAAGCCAUUGUAUUGAGUAUAAAGCAACUUUUCUCUGUGUUGCUCAAUAGAGGGUAUCUAGAAGCAAUGGUUGUGCUCAGUUGUGUGUCCAUCAUGCUCAUUAGCAUACAGCCAAGUGGUCACUUAGAAGGUUGCCCAGCCGUUUCAUCGUAAGGGGGCCCCACCCUCCAGUCCAAAUGCCCUGUGCGCCUGUUCACCAUCCAGUAGAACCUGGCUUUUUCAUAGACAGUUUCCUGGGUUGAUGCAGGGGUGAGAUCUGUUCAAAGUUCUGGUGACAGUUCCUGCAUCUCGUGACCGUUCUCGGAGCAGCCUGAGCAGAGACGCCCGCAGUCAGGAUCCCUGUCCUCUCACCAAGGCUGACCGAUUUCUUUUGGUGUUCAGAGUCUCCUUUAGUUUCUAGCACCAUUUGAAAUCGGUUACAAUGUAGGAGGGAAGUCGACGGAGUUCCGGCGCCCAUACAGUUCCUGCCCCUGUCCUCACCAUGCCCUUUUGCAAGAGAUUACAGCAGCUCUUUGAAGUAUAUGAAAACAGAUCAAUUCAUCAAACAUACCAACAUGAAUUGGCAUAUCAUUUAUUUUUCCUACCCUCUUGUUUUUGUAUGAUCUUCCAUCCAUCCAUCCACUACAGGGUUGCAAUGAGCCUGUACCAGGCAGCAUGAAUAUCUAAUAAAUAUUAAGGCAUUAAAUAUUUAAAUUUGCACUCAUGUUAAUAAUGGUUUCUAAUUCCAGUCCCCAAUGAUGUCUGUAUUUAAAGUGAUUUGUAUUUUUGUUUAUUUAAUUAACAGUAUUAGGCUUUGAUUUAUAAACGUUGGUUAUAGUCUCUGUCUGUUCAUCUGUUGACUCAGUUUUCAGAAUGCAAGAUGAUGCAUGUGAACAUAAUUUAUUCAAAACCUGAAUGCACUGAUGGAAAAUGCUGUUUACUGUACCUUACUGUACAUUCAGACCUCUGGAUGCUGUGGUUUUUUUAAAAGAUCUUUUUUCCUGCACGUUUAUGGGAUUAAAGAAUGCCGAGGCAGCAGUGUU